rnacentral:rRNA from 1 species
CCUACGGGUGGCAGCAGUGAGGAAUAUUGGUCAAUGGACGAGAGUCUGAACCAGCCAAGUAGCGUGAAGGAUGACUGCCCUCUGGGUUGUAAACUUCUUUUAUAUGGGAAUAAAAUGUUCCACGUGUGGGCUUUUGUAUGUACCAUAUGAAUAAGGAUCGGCUAACUCCGUGCCAGCAGCCGAGGUAAUACGGAGGAUCCGAGCGUUAUCCGGAUUUAGUGGGUUUAAAGGGAGCGUAGGUGGAUAGUUAAGUCAGUGGUGAAAGUUUGCGGCUCAACCGUAAAAUUGCAGUUGAAACUGGCAGGCUUGAGUGCAGUAGAGGUGGGCGGAAUUCGUGGUGUAGCGGUGAAAUGCUUAGAUAUCACGAAGAACUCCGAUUGCGAAGGCAGCUCACUGGACUGCAACUGACACUGAGGCUCGAAAGUGUGGGGAUCAAACAGGAUUAGAUACCCUAGUAGUC